AUUUUUGAACUGUGGAACACUAAUGAAAAUAACUAAAUGUACUACCAUUUUUUUAAGCAAAUUCGUUAUUUUUUAGAAUUUUAUUUAUUUACUGAUAUAGCUUCUGUUUUCAUAAUGGCCAUAAGCCCAUAACCUUUCGUUUCUUAUUCUCUCUUGAUGACUUUAUAUUAUCUGAUAUGCCUUUAAGAUAUCAUUCCGAUGAAUACUUUUAACUUUAAUUGUUACCAACUUAUUUUGUUCUAUUUUUGGUCUCAAUGUUUUCCAAUACAGAUUACUGGUUGGCCAUUGUAGUUAAUGGCUUAUGCUUAUUUAGCUGUUAGUCCUCCAAGCAUGAUAGCGCGAUCUGAAGAGAUGGCUGCAGCAGCAUCAAAUAAAAGUACUGCCAAGAAAGAUUCGAGAUAUCCUGAAAUAGAGGAGCAAGCAUUGUGCGAAUCCAGUAUAUCAAAAUACAACAAUAAUUUGUAAUCCUCUUUAUAUUCAUUGAUACAUGGAAAGUAGUAGUUUAGACAUGUUUCAUUUUUUUUUACUCUAUUGUUGAAUGAUUGUUCAAUUGGAUAGUUGGAUCCAUUGUUUUAUGUACUAAUAUAUUGUAACAUUACAGUGCUUGUGAAUCUUUAGAAUGUAUUUACUGUCU